rnacentral:sRNA from 12 species
UAGUGAGUAAGUCCUGUUGAACGAAUGACGCCUCAGGAAUGGAGGUCAGGACAAGUAAACAGGGUUCACUU